AGUUUUACUGGAUUUUCUCAUUCCUUUCUGAGGAGCUACCGCUGCUGAAGCAGAUUUUUUUUUCUUCCGUUCUUUUUUGUCUGAUGUAGGAUCCUAAUAGCUAGGCAGCCUCUCUCUUUUCUUCCUCCUACCCUUUCAGUAUGUAGGAAGGGAGAGACAUCAAUGGAAAGGCUGAAAUACGUUUAGAUGGACUUUAAAAAAAAAAUUUUUUUUUGAAGGAGGACGAUAGAUCCUAGUUGCCACUCACUUUUUUGUUGCUGUUGCAUUGCUUUGUAAAAAUGGGGCUCACUUACUCCAGCUAAAUCCUUCGAGUGUUUUAGAGAGUUACUACAGUGAAGGAGUUUCCAUUUUUUUGGCAUCAGAGGAGCUUCAUUGAUGUUAACCUUUUUCUUGUAAAAUGGAGAACGAAAUAUUCACACCCCUUUUGGAGCAGUUUAUGUCUAGCCCUCUUGUCACUUGGGUUAAGACAUUUGGACCGUUAGCUGGAGGGAAUGGGACCAACCUGGAAGAAUAUGUGGCACUAGUGGAUGGCGUGUUUCUCAACGAAGUCAUGCUGCAAAUCAAUCCAAAGUCUGCCAGCCAGAGAAUAAACAAAAAAGUCAAUAACGAUGCAUCAUUAAGGAUUCAAAAUUUGUCAAUUUUGGUGAAGCAAAUAAAAACUUACUAUCAGGAGACUUUGCAGCAGUUGAUCAUGAUGUCUUUGCCAAAUGUAUUAAUAAUUGGCAAAAAUCCUUUUUCUGAGCCAGGUACUGAAGAAAUAAAAAAACUCCUCUUGCUUUUGCUUGGUUGUGCAGUUCAGUGUCAGAAAAAGGAAGAAUUUAUUGAAAGAAUCCAAGGUCUGGAUUUUGACACAAGAGCAGCUGUUGCAGCCCAUAUUCAAGAGGUAACUCAUAAUCAGGAAAAUGUGUUUGAUCUACAGUGGAUGGAAGUUAGUGUACUGACACAAGAAUAUGUUGAGCCUCUCUUGAAAAAUAUGGCGUUACAUUUAAAAAGACUUAUAGAUGAAAGAGAUGAGCACUCAGAGACUAUCAUAGAACUCUCAGAAGAACGGGACUGUCUCCGUUUUCUACCUCAUGCAUCAGCAGCACAAUCGCCCUGUGGAUCUCCUGGCAUGAAACGUACUGAAAGCAGACAGCACCUGUCAGUAGAGUUAGCAGAUGCCAAAGCAAAAAUAAGAAGGCUUAGGCAAGAGCUUGAGGAAAAGACUGAGCAGUUGCUUGACUGUAAACAAGAACUUGAACAGAUGGAAGCUGAGUUAAAAAAACUUCAGCAAGAGAAUAUGAAUUUACUCUCAGAUGCCCGGUCUGCCAGAGUGUAUAGAGAUGAAUUAGAUGCUCUUCGCGAGAAGGCAAUUCGAGUUGAUAAGCUUGAAAGUGAAGUCAGCCGAUACAAAGAAAGACUGCAUGAUGUUGAAUUCUACAAAGCUAGAGUGGAGGAGUUAAAGGAGGACAAUCAAGUGUUGCUAGAAACAAAGACAAUGUUGGAAGAUCAAUUAGAGGGGACCCGAGCCCGUUCUGAUAAAUUACAUGAGUUAGAAAAAGAGAAUCUACAAUUAAAAGCUAAAUUACAUGACAUGGAGAUGGAGCGUGAUAUGGACAGGAAGAAGAUAGAGGAACUCAUGGAGGAAAAUAUGACUCUAGAAAUGGCUCAGAAACAAAGUAUGGAUGAAUCAUUGCAUCUUGGCUGGGAACUUGAACAGAUAAACAGAACUACUGAAUUUUGUGAAGUGCCACAGAAGUCACUUGGUCAUGAAGUAAAUGAACUGGCAUCAAGCAGAUUACUGAAGUUGGAAAUGGAAAACCAAAGUUUACUGAAGACAGUGGAAGAACUUCAAAAUGGUGGGGGUUCUGUGGAAGGCAGUAGUUCAAGGAUGCUGAAAAUGGAGAAAGAAAAUCAAAGACUUAGCAAAAAGCUUGAAGGGCUAGAGAAUGAAAUUAGCCAAGAGAAACAAAGUCUUCAGAAUUGUCAAAAUUUGAGUAAAGAUCUAAUGAAAGAGAAGGCACAACUUGAAAAGGUACUUGAAGCACUACGAGAAAACUCAGAGCGGCAAAUUAGGCUGUUAGAACAAGAAAAUGAACAUUUGAAUCAAACUGUAGCUUCUCUAAGACAACGCUCACAAAUCAGUGCUGAAGCAAGAGUGAAAGAAAUUGAAAAAGAAAAUAAAAUUCUUCAUGAAUCUAUUAAGGAGACGAGCAGUCAGUUAAAUAAGAUUGAAUUUGAAAAAAAGCAAGUCAGGAAAGAACUGGCACACUAUAAAGAGAAAGGGGAAAGAACAGAAGAACUUGAGAACGAGUUGCAUCAUCUAGAGAAAGAAAAUGAAUUACUACAGAAAAAAAUUACCAACUUAAAAAUCACUUGUGAGAAGAUAGAGACCUUAGAACAAGAAAACUCUGAUCUGGAAAUGGAGAAUAGAAAGCUGAAAAAAACUUUGGAUAGCCUAAAAAAUCUCACAUUUCAAUUAGAAUCCUUAGAAAAGGAGAAUUCACAACUUGAUGAAGAAAAUUUAGAAUUAAGAAGAACAAUUGAAUCUUUGAAGUGUACAAGCAUUAAAGUGGCACAGUUACAAUUAGAAAAUAAGGAACUUGAAAGUGAAAAGGAACAACUGAGAAAAAGUCUUGAGCUCAUGAAAGCCUCAUUUAAGAAAACUGAGCGUCUAGAAGUCAGCUACCAAGGUUUAGAUACAGAAAACCAAAGACUACAGAAAGCCCUAGAAAACAGUAACAAGAAGAUUCAGCAGUUAGAAAGUGAAUUACAAGAUUUAGAGUCUGAAAAUCAGGCUCUGCAAAAGAACUUAGAAGAACUAAAAAUCUCUAGUAAGCGCCUAGAGCAAUUGGAAAAGGAAAAUAAGUUGUUAGAACAAGAGACUUCCCAACUGGAGAAAGAUAAGAAACAACUAGAAAAAGAAAAUAAAAGACUUCGACAGCAAGCAGAAAUUAAAGAUAGCACUUUAGAAGAAAACAAUAUAAAAAUUAGUAAUCUGGAAAAGGAAAAUAAAUCUCUGUUUAAAGAAAUAGUUGUAUAUAAAGAGUCAUGUAUACGUCUGAAAGAACUAGAAAAGGAAAAUAAAGAACUUGUGAAAAGAGCUACCAUUGAUAAGAAAACUCUUGUCACCUUACGAGAGGACUUGGUGAGUGAAAAACUGAAGGCCCAACAGAUGAAUAAUGAUCUAGAAAAACUUGCCCAUGAACUUGAAAAAAUAGGCUUAAAUAAAGAGCGUCUCUUGCAUGAUGAACAGAGCAGUGAUGACAGUAGGUACAAACUUUUGGAAUCAAAACUAGAAUCUACACUUAAGAAGUCUCUUGAAAUAAAAGAAGAAAAAAUUGCUGCUUUGGAGGCUCGUUUAGAAGAAUCAACAAAUUUAAAUCAGCAACUCCGUCAGGAACUUAAAACAGUGAAAAAGAACUAUGAAGCCCUGAAGCAAAGACAGGAAGAGGAAAGGAUGGUUCAGAAUUCUCCUCCAAGAAGCGGAGAAGAAAAUCAAUCUGUCAAUAAAUGGGAAAAAGAAAAUCAGGAAACUACUAGAGAAUUAUUGAAAGUUAAAGAUAGAUUAAUUGAAGUAGAAAGGAAUAAUGCUACACUGCAGGCAGAGAAACAAGCACUGAAAACACAAUUAAAGCAACUUGAGACACAGAAUAGUAAUCUGCAAGCUCAGAUUCUUGCACUUCAGAGACAGAAUGUUUCUCUACAGGAACAAAAUACAACUCUACAAACUCAAAAUGCCAAACUUCAGGUUGAAAAUUCCACCCUUAAUUCUCAGAGUACAUCUCUUAUGAAUCAGAAUGCACAACUGUUGAUCCAGCAGUCAGCUUUAGAAAAUGAAAAUGAAUCUAUACUAAAAGAACGUGAGGAUCUGAAAUCAUUGUAUGAUUCACUUCUCAAAGAUCAUGAAAAAUUGGAACACCUGCAUGAACGCCAAGCAUCUGAGUAUGAAUCUCUGAUCGCUAAACACGGAAAUCUUAAAUCCACACACAAAAAUCUGGAGGUGGAGCAUAAGGACUUAGAGGAUAGGUACAAUCAGUUGCUGAAACAGAAAGUACAAUUAGAAGAAUUGGAGAAAGUUCUGAACACAGAACAGCAGAAGAUGCUGCAGCAAAAUGAACAGCAUGAAACUGUAGCAGCAGAGCAUAAAAGACUUUGUGAUGAAAAUGACAGGCUUACUCAUACAUACAGUCAGCUCUUGAGAGAGAAUGAAGUUCUGCAAACUGAUCAUAAAAAUUUGAAAACAUUAUUGAACAAUUCCAAACUAGAACAAACACGUUUAGAAGCUGAGUUUUCUAAACUCAGAGAACAAUACCAACAACUUGAUAUUACAUUUACAAAAUUGAAUAAUCAGUGUGAGUUGCUUAGCCAGCUUAAGGGAAAUCUGGAGGAGGAAAACAGACAUUUACUAGAUCAAAUUCAGACAUUAAUGCUACAGAAUAGAACAUUACUUGAGCAAAAUAUGGAAAGCAAAGAUCUCUUCCAUGUAGAACAACGACAGUACAUUGAUAAGCUAAAUGAAUUGAGGCGGCAGAAGGAGAAAUUGGAGGAGAAGAUAAUGGAUCAGUAUAAAUUUUAUGAACCAUCCCCACCAAGAAGAAGAGGCAACUGGAUUACUCUGAAAAUGAGGAAGCUGAUAAAGUCUAAGAAGGAUGUUAACCGCGAACGUUUGAAGUCUCUGACCCUCACGCCUAGCCGUUCAGAAUCCAGUGAAGGAUUUCUUCAGCUGCCUCACCAGGACAGUCAGGAUAGUUCCUCAGUGGGCUCAAACUCUCUUGAAGAUGGCCAGAUACUGGGUACCAAAAAGAGUAGUAUGGUUGCACUGAAAAGACUGCCCUUUUUGAGGAACAGACCGAAGGAAAAAGACAAAAUGAAGGCCUUCUACCGUCGCUCCAUGUCCAUGAAUGACCUGGUGCAAUCCAUGGUCCUAGCAGGAGGACAAUGGACAGGUAGUUCUGAGCAUCUGGAGGGUCCUGAUGAUAUAUCUACGGGUAAAAGGAGAAAAGAGUUGGGAGCUAUGGCCUUCUCUACUACAGCUAUCAACUUUGCAACUGUCAACUCUUCUACAGGCUUCAGAUCCAAGCAGUUGCUAAAUAAUAAAGAUGCUGCAUCCUUUGAAGAUGUAAGUCCACAAGGUAUUAGUGAUGAUUCUAGUACAGGAUCAAGAGUUCAUGGAGUACAGGAUAUUAACUGUGCAGAUGCUCUUGCUCCUCCUGUUCGUGGCAUUUCAACAAUAUGCAGGGUUCCUUGUCAAAUCUGUUCAUCCAGACCAGCAAGCCUUGAUAGUGGCAGAACAUCCACUAGCAAUAGCAAUAACAAUGCUUCACUCCAUGAAGUCAAAGCAGGUGCAGUUAAUCAAAGCAGGCCACAGAGUCACAGCAGCGGAGAAUUUAGCCUGCUACAUGAACACGAGGCUUGGUCUAGCAGCAGCAGCAGUCCUAUUCAGUAUUUGAAAGGUUAUACCAGGUCUAGUCCUGUGUUCCAGCAAAGAAUGCCUGAAACACUGGAUAGUCGUGGAAAACAGAUCAAAACUGGUUCUCCUGGAAGUGAAGUUGUUACCCUACAACAGUUUUUAGAAGAAAGCAACAAGAGUACCUUAAGUGAGAUAAAAUCUGCAAGUGAAGAGAAUCUUUUAGAGGAAGUAAUGAAAAGCUUAUCUGAGUCUGCUGAGUUGACAGUCAAGGAAAAACUAAGAAAACAGCCGUCAGCCAGUUGUGGUAUUGUGAGGUCAUUAAGUGUAAAAAAUACAUUUGAUUUCUCAGAUGGACGAUCUGUUAAACCAGAACAACUUGUAAGGCCCAGCCUUCGUAAAACCGAAGAUACCUAUUUUACUAGCUCUCCGAUAAAAUUUUCGUCAGGUACUCAAGGGAAGGUCAGAUCAGUUAAGGAAAAGAUACAAGCAACAGUAUCACAGCGGCAAUCAAAAGAUUGCAAUCCUUAUGCUACCUUACCUCGUGCAAGCAGCGUGAUUUCUACAGCAGAAGGAACUACUCGAAGGACCAGCAUUCAUGAUUUUUUGUCCAAGGACAAUAGACAACCUGUGUCAGUUGAUCCAGCACCAUCUACUGCUGACAGAAGUGUUUCAUCAACAUCUAAUGUGGAAGCUAUACCAGAAAGCAGAAAUGCAAAAAGCAGGUCUAGGGAGCAACAAAGCUCCUAAUUCUGUUACCCACUACAUGAGAUGUGGGCCAAGUGAGAAAAAACUGUUUACAUAUGUGAAAAAAUUGAAUAACAAAAAAAUGGGAAUUAUGGAAUAUCACAUUAUACAGAAUAUAAUGUUCAUUACUUGUGUUCUUCACAUUCCCAAGAUAUAUAUGUUCGGAUGUUUUUGACAGGAAAUUGUCAGGCUUUCAGGUUUUAAGAUGUAUAAAGUCUCAAGCUGUCAGGGAAUAAUUGGAACAAAAUCAUUUUUCACUGGAGAAUGCAGUUCAACAGAUGCAAAACCAUCCUGGCAACACAUUUUGAUUGAACUGAAAUUUUGUGAAAAAGAGGGGGAAAAGAGGAAAGUUCAGACAGAUAUAGAAGUGGAACACUUUAGUUUUUUUUAUUAUUUGUUUUGUUUUGUUUGUUUCUUUAAAGUGACUUCAUUAUUUCCUGAUGGAAAAUGUCACAAGUUCUAAAUCAAAACAGACUUAUUUUAGCACUACAAAUGUUUGUUCAGCCUGGGAUUUUUUUCAUGGAGAAUUUAAAAAUUUUCCUUAAACGAGACAAAUUUUGCAGCUCUCCAGCAGAUAGAAUUUCCAUUCUUUGUACAUCUCUAAAGACAUUUCUGGUAUUUUAUUAAAUUCAUGAGUUAAUUUUGAUUGUUGACUUGUAUAUACAAGUAUCUAGUUCUGCUCUGCUUAUUCUCAGUGUCAGAUUCUCACUCAUUUCAGUGGAAGCGAAUAGAGCUUUGCAGGGUAUCAACACUUAGCCAAGCGAUCCUACAUGUGGUCAGAAGCCCACAGCACUCCUGAAAUCCAGUGCUAUUCAGCCAUGAUGUUUUUGUAAGCAGCUGGAUACUAGUUGCAUGUGAAUUAAUUUCUUAUGUGAUAACUGAUAUCAUGACCUUUCUGAAAAGGAUUCAGGGCAUUCCAGACUGUUGAUUGACUGCUACAGGACAUCAGCAAAAGGGCAGGUGAGAUGCAGGUGCAGUGUGUCAGGGCCUGUAUAUACUACAGGUAAUCUAGGUGUUCCUAAAUGCAUUUAAAGCUUGGGGCAUAUGUGAGUUUUUCCCACAAUACAAAAUGAGCCAGACAUAGACUGGACAUGCUCUAAGAGAAAAGUACUAUAAGCAAUAAGAAUUUGGUGUUAAGCCUGAUCUGUGCCAUUUCUGUACUGCAAUAUAAGCAUAGCCAUAAAACCUGAAGGAAAAGCUACCUUCACAUAAUUCAGAAGACACAUGAAAUCUGUAAUGCCAUUAGCCCUUAUUAAAAAGAUAGCUGUUACGAAAGAGAAUUGAAAUACCUUAAAUAUUAGGAAAAUGCCUCUGAGUCUAGAUUUUCAUGCUUUCAGACUAAUUUCAGGGUCUAAUUGUUGCUGGGUUCUCUUUGCUCUCCUUGAAAACAUUGAAGAUUGAUACAUUUCAAGAUACUAAACCCUAAUUUACUACUAAUAUCAUUGCUUUUAGAAGAGCACACGUGUCCUGAAUGAACAGAUUUAAGCUUGAGUGCCAGAUGCUGUUUGUAUUCAUGGAACCUGUGCAGUUGUGUGCUUAGAUAUAUCAGAUACUUAAAGACCCUGGGGAAAGUACAUGAGAAAGACAAACCGCUGUGACUGUUGCAUGGCAUUUUAUCUCAUGAUUUUCUUUGAGAAACAUGAUGGGUGCACAUACGGUUUCAUCCUCGCCAUGCCUAGCCGUAUCAUUUUUCUCAAUGUGGGCAUCUCCUGGCUUUUUAUUUAUUUAGCUCUUCUCUAUAUUCAUUAAGUUGUCCAGGAUUACCUGUCACAAUUUCCUACAUUGCUUUUUGGAUGUUAUUACACAUUCUUAAGACAUCUGUGCAAUCACUGCCAGGGUUUAGAUACAGAUGACAGUGUUACUAUUAAGCUUAUGAAGCGUAUCAGAAGUGAAAUCCUCCCAUUAAAAAAAUAUAAGCAAAGUUUCCCCAUAUGAGAGAAUAAGCAGAGGUUUGAGAGAGAGAUUGGCUAUAGACUUCAUCCUUACACCUCCUGUUAGGUCAGAGUUCAGCACAGGUCAGAUGUAUGUGCUGGAGUCUUGACUAUUGUCUUUCUGUGCUACUGAAAGCAGGUUUCAAGCCUCUUUACCCACAUCAGUUCAAAGACCAGAGCUGGAUUUUGAUUUGUGUUCACUAAGUUAGCCAAAAGCAGCAGAAGGACACAUUUGCAUUUUAGGAGAUCAAAAUUUACUUUUCCCAGCACUUUCCUCUGCAAAGCAGUUCAGAACAGAGGAGCAGUCACAAGGUUCUCUAUGGUCUGAUUUUUUUUUUUUUUUUUUUAAUCCUUCUUUCUUGAACUGUACCAAACUUACGUAAAGCAUUUAAUCUUUCUGGUCUAUGCUCUUUAAAAGAAAGAAAAUUAUUUGGAAGACAUUUCAUCUUUUCUAAAACAAACUGCCAGGGGAAUAAUACAGCAGCUCUUGGGCAACAUACAAUAGAACGGCACAGCGGUUUACAGCAAGAAUUGCCAGAUUUGUCAUUAUUAGUUCAAGGUAACAUGAUGUUGUGAUACCAUAAAUAAAAAAAUUCAUUUAUUUUCUGAUGAAGCUUAGUCUGCUGGGGAUUUGGUAGCAUUCCCAGCAUGUACUAUUUUUAAUUUUUUUAAAACAUGAUGCAGCCUCAGCAAAGGAGUUCAUGUGUGAUUCUUAGAGUUAGAUGAUAACAUACAUGUAAAUAAUACUUUGAUAGUAAUAAACUGCCUUAAAGGAAUGUAUCUAGGUGUGAAACAGAACUUUAAAAGCUCUUAUUUAAAACUGUAAUUUCUUUUAAGUAUUGAUUGAGGAAUUUUUUAAUGUUUACCAUUGUAUACAUUUAAUAACGUUAUUAAAAUGCCAAACCAAAUAAUUUUUGUUCUUAUUUUAUGUGUGUAUAUUUAUACACACUUUUUCUGGAAACUGAUGUUACUGGAAGGAUGUUGAUGUUGAAUAAUAGCUUUGUGGUCAGUUGGUAAUGUGUUCAGUAUUUCUUCUGAAAGGAAACCUAUAAAACUAUAGCAGAAUUCUGUUGAA